CAGAUCGUACUUCUAGGGAUCAGUCCUAUAGUACGUAUCACCAGGACGUCAAACAAACUUGACCCUGGCUAACCAACUUUUGUGCGUUGG
rnacentral:snoRNA from 1 species